AACGAACGCUGGCGGCGUGCUUAACACAUGCAAGUCGAACGCGAAAGGGACUUCGGUCCUGAGUAGAGUGGCGCACGGGUGAGUAACGCGUAAGUAAUCUACCCCUGUAUUCGGAAUAACCCACCGAAAGGUGAGCUAAUACCGGAUACGUUUAUCUUGAUGCGAAUGAUGAUAAAGAAAGGUGGCCUCUUCAUGAAAGCUACUGUACAGGGACGAGCUUGCGUACCAUUAGCUAGUUGGUAGGGUAAUGGCCUACCAAGGCGACGAUGGUUAGCGGGUCUGGGAGGAUGAUCCGCCACACUGGAACUGGAACACGGACCAGACUCCUACGGGAGGCAGCAGUGAGGAAUAUUGCGCAAUGGGGGCAACCCUGACGCAGCGACGCCGCGUGGAUGAUGAAGGCCCUUGGGUCGUAAAAUCCUGUCAGAUGGAAAGAAAUGUAUAGCAGCUAAUAUCUGUUAUAUUUGACGGUACCAUCAAAGGAAGCACCGGCUAACUCCGUGCCAGCAGCCGCCGUAA
rnacentral:rRNA from 1 species